rnacentral:miRNA from 1 species
AAGGCGCGUCCCUUUGGAGUGU